CCACCAGUAGUAAAGCCACUUCCUCCACCAGUUCCAGUUUACAAGCCACCAGUAGUAAAACCCCUUCCACCACCUGUUCCAAUUUACAAAAAGCCAUGCCCACCAUUUCCACACCUUCCACCACUGCCACCAAUAGUGAAGCCACUUCCUCCUCCAGUUCCAGUUUACAAGCCACCAGUAGUAAAACCCCUUCCACCACCUGUUCCAAUUUACAAAAAGCCAUGCCCACCAUUUCCACACCUUCCACCACUGCCACCAAUAGUGAAGCCACUUCCUCCACCAGUUCCAGUUUACAAGCCACCAGUAGUAAAACCCCUUCCACCACCUGUUCCAAUUUACAAAAAGCCAUGCCCACCAUUUCCACACCUUCCACCACUGCCACCAAUAGUGAAGCCACUUCCUCCUCCAGUUCCAAUUUACGUGCCACCAGUAGUAAAACCCCUGCCACCACCCGUUCCAAUUUAUGAGCCACCAGUAGUAAAACCCCUGCCACCACCUGUUCCAAUUUACAAGCCACCAUUUUACAAAAAGCCAUGCCCACCACUUCCACCAUUCCCUAAAAUUCCUCCCUUCCACCAUCCUCUCUUCCCACCACUUCCAC
rnacentral:lncRNA from 1 species